rnacentral:rRNA from 1 species
UACGGAGGGUGCGAGCGUGUCCGGAUUUAUUGGGUUUAAAGGGUGCGUAGGUGGCUAUUUAAGUCAGUGGUGAAAUACAGCCGCUCAACGGUUGAGGUGCCAUUGAUACUGAUUAGCUUGAAAUAAUUGGAGGCUGCCGGAAUGGAUGGUGUAGCGGUGAAAUGCAUAGAUAUCAUCCAGAACACCGAUUGCGAAGGCAGGUGGCUACGAUUUAUUUGACACUGAGGCACGAAAGCAUGGGGAGCAAACAGG